ACGGGGGGGACGAGCGUUGUUCGGAUUUACUGGGCGUAAAGGGCGCGUAGGCGGGUCUUCAAGUCGGAUGUGAAAACUAUCAGCUUAACUGGUAGCCUGCAUUUGAUACUGUUGAUCUUGAGUACGGGUGAGGAGAGUGGAAUUCCAGGUGUAGCGGUGAAAUGCGUAGAUAUCUGGAAGAACACCAGUAGCGAAGGCGGCUCUCUGGACCGAUACUGACGCUCAAGCGCGAAGGCUUGGGGAGCAAACAGGA
rnacentral:rRNA from 1 species